rnacentral:ncRNA from 2 species
CGAAAAAACGGCGAUGGAGUUCGCCGAUAACCGCUGUCGUUCGGACGGCUGAUGACUCCUGCCCGGUC